rnacentral:tRNA from 1 species
GGAGAAAUAACUCAAUUGGUAGAGUGCUUGCCUUGCAUGCAUAAGGCCCUGGAUUCAAUCUCCAGCACCA